rnacentral:rRNA from 1 species
AUUGAACGCUGGCGGUAUGCUUAACACAUGCAAGUCGAACGAUGAGAAAGAGCUUGCUCUUUCGAUUAGUGGCGGACGGGUGCGUAACGCGUAGGAAUCUACCUAUUAGUGGGGGACAACUUAGGGAAACUUAAGCUAGUACCGCAUACGCCCUACGGGGGAAAGAAGGGGAUCGCAAGACCUUUUGCUAAUAGAUGAGCCUGCGUAGGAUUAGCUAGUUGGUGGGGUAAAAGCUCACCAAGGCGACGAUCCUUAACUGGUUUGAGAGAAUGAUCAGUCACACUGGAACUGAGACACGGUCCAGACUCCUACGGGAGGCAGCAGUGGGGAAUAUUGGACAAUGGGCGAAAGCCUGAUCCAGCAAUACCGCGUGUGUGAAGAAGGCCUUAGGGUUGUAAAGCACUUUCAAUUGGAAGGAAAACCUCGAAGCUAAUACCUUCGAGUUUGACAUUACCUUUAGAAGAAGCACCGGCUAACUCCGUGCCAGCAGCCGCUGUAAUAC